UACGGAAUGUGCAAACGUUAUUCGGAAUCACUGGGCUUAAAGAGUCCGUAGGCGGCAUGUUAGGUGAGGUGUGAAAUCCCCCGGCUCAACCGAGGAAUUGCGCUUGAAACCGGCGUGCUUGAGGAAGAUAGAGGUGGGCGGAACUGAUGGUGGAGCGGUGAAAUGCGUUGAUAUCAUCAGGAACACCGGAGGCGAAGGCGGCCCACUGGGUCUUUUCUGACGCUGAGGGGCGAAAGCUAGGGGAGCGAACGGG
rnacentral:rRNA from 1 species